rnacentral:rRNA from 1 species
AGUGAACGCUGGCGGUAGGCCUAACACAUGCAAGUCGAACGGCAGCACAGUAAGAGCUUGCUCUUACGGGUGGCGAGUGGCGGACGGGUGAGGAAUACAUCGGAAUCUACUUUUUCGUGGGGGAUAACGUAGGGAAACUUACGCUAAUACCGCAUACGACCUACGGGUGAAAGCAGGGGAUCUUCGGACCUUGCGCGAUUGAAUGAGCCGAUGUCGGAUUAGCUAGUUGGCGGGGUAAAGGCCCACCAAGGCGACGAUCCGUAGCUGGUCUGAGAGGAUGAUCGGCCACACUGGAACUGAGACACGGUCCAGACUCCUACGGGAGGCAGCAGUGGGGAAUAUUGGACAAUGGGCGCAAGCCUGAUCCAGCCAUACCGCGUGGGUGAAGAAGGCCUUCGGGUUGUAAAGCCUUUUUGUUGGGAAAGAAAAGCAGCAGGUUAAUACCCCGCUGUUCUGACGGUACCCAAAGAAUAAGCACCGGCUAACUUCGUG